rnacentral:rRNA from 1 species
AGUCAAUAGAUACCCGGGUAGUCCACGCCGUAAACGAUGAAUACUAGGUGUAGGAGGUAUCGACUCCUUCUGUGCCGCAGUUAAACACAAUAAGUAUUCCGCCUGGGGAGUACGGUCGCAAGAUUAAAACUCAAAGGAAUUGACGGGGGCCCGCACAAGCAGCGGAGCAUGUGGUUUAAUUCGAAGCAACGCGAAGAACCUUACCCAGACUUGACAUCUCCUGAAUUAAUCGUAAUUGAUGAAAUCCCUUCGGGGACAGGAAGACAGGUGGUGCAUGGUUGUCGUCAGCUCGUGUCGUGAGAUGUUGGGUUAAGUCCCGCAACGAGCGCAACCCUUAUCAUUAGUUGCUAACAUUAAGUUGAGCACUCUAGUGAGACUGCCCGGGUUAACCGGGAGGAAGGUGGGGAUGACGUCAAAUCAUCAUGCCCCUUAUGUCUGGGGCUACACACGUGCUACAAUGGUGGGAACAAAGAGAUGCAAGACCGCGAGGUGGAGCCAAACUCAAAAACCCAUCCCAGUUCGGAUUGUAGGCUGAAACUCGCCUAC